CAGCCCGCUCCCGGUAAAACGGGACGGCCCGCCAGAGGACCCCUAAAGUCAGUUUCUUUAUGUAACUUCCGGGUAAAACCAUAAAUAAAUCAAAACUUUCAACAACGGAUCUCUUGGUUCUGGCAUCGAUGAAGAACGCAACAGAAUGCGAUAAGUGAUGGGAAUUGCAAAAUUCGGUGGAUCCUCGAAUCUUUGAACGCACCUUGCGCCCGCCAGUAUUCUGGCGGGCAUGCCUGUUCGAACGUCGUUUCAACCCUCAAGCCCCCGGGUUUGGUGAUGGGGAUCGGCGAACCUUAGCGGCAAGCCGGCCCCGAAAUACAGUGGCGGUCUCACUGCAGCUUUCUUUGGGUUCUAGGAAAACCCUCUCAUCUGGUUACGGAAAGCGGCCUAACCCUUAAACCCCCAAUUUCUGAAUGUUGACCUCGGAUCAGGAGGGAAUACCCGCUGAACUUAACCCUAUCAAUACCCGGGGGGAGGAUCAUUACCGAGUUUACAACUCCCAAACCCUGGUGAACAUUACAAAUUGUUGCCCCGGGGAAUACCGCUCGGGUAAAACGGAAAGGCCCCCCAAGGGACCCCAAAACUGGUUUCUAUAUGUAAAUUUCUGGGUAAAACCCUAAAUAAUUCAAACUUUUCACAACGGAUUUCUUGGUUUCUGGGGUCGAUGAAAAAACCCCCCAAAAUGCAAUAAGUAAUGUGAAUUGCAGAAUUCAGUGAAUCAU
rnacentral:rRNA from 1 species